GUGCCAGCCGCCGCGGUAAUACGUACGAGGCAAGCGUUAUCCGGAAUUAUUGGGCGUAAAGCGCGCGCAGGCGGAUCGUUAAGUAGGGCGUGAAAUCUCCCGGCCUAACUGGGAGGGGUCGCCCUAAACUGGCAGUCUUGAGGACAGCAGAGGUAGGUGGAAUUCCUGGUGUAGUGGUGAAAUGCGUAGAGAUCAGGAGGAACACCGGUGGCGAAGGCGGCCUACUGGGCUGUCUCUGACGCUGAGGCGCGAAAGCUCGGGGAGCGAACGGGAUUAGAUACCCCGGUAGUCC
rnacentral:rRNA from 1 species